rnacentral:rRNA from 1 species
ACGAACGCUGGCGGCAUGCCUAACACAUGCAAGUCGAACGAGACCUUCGGGUCUAGUGGCGCACGGGUGCGUAACGCGUGGGAACCUGCCCUUAGGUUCGGCAUAACUCCCCGAAAGGGGUGCUAAUACCGGCUAAUGUCUUCGGCCCAAAGAUUUAUCGCCUUUGGAUGGGCCCGCGUUGGAUUAGCUAGUUGGUAGGGUAAAAGCCUACCAAGGCGACGAUCCAUAGCUGGUCUGAGAGGAUGAUCAGCCACACUGGGACUGAGACACGGCCCAGACUGCUACGGGAGGCAGCAGUGGGGAAUAUUGGACAAUGGGGGAAAGCCUGAUCCAGCAAUGCCGCGUGAGUGAUGAAGGCCUUAGGGUUGUAAAGCUCUUUUACACGGGAUGAUAAUGACAGUACCGGGAGAAUAAGCUCCGGCUAACUCCGUG